UUUGUGGGGGUGAGCAUGUCUACAGGGAAGAGCAUGUGCACUCCGCUGAGGCCAAAGUUAUGCUCUCCGCCAAAAAGACAGACGCGUCUCUUCCCCCGCUCACAUCUCAUCUCUGCGAUCCCUACGCUGGUCCAUCCCUCCGACCAGUAUCCAUCCCACCCUAAGGGUUCAUUGGAGAGCAGAUCAGCCGACGUGGUGAGCAGCCCGGGGGUUUGGUUCGCCGGCUCUCCCUGGACGUGUGAGCGUCGGUAGAUCCAGUCCGAUCACAGCACGGAACCACCCAGCUGGGGGAGCCGUUGGGAGGUCAGGCAUCAUGACCAGUGUUAACUCUCCAGCCUGUCUACUAGCCAGAAAUCACUUCAAGAGAAGUCCUUGGACAGUGCUGGAGUCGAGCGGACAGACGGACGCCUCCGGCAGACAGAGACACAGACAGAUGACACUGCGGGUCACAGUGACAAUACCCCCAGGUGAGUUCAGAAGGAUAUCUCUUUU